rnacentral:pre_miRNA from 14 species
UGCUAUAGCAUGUGAUUAUGAAAGAUCCCACGCAGAGAGACCCUUACUCAAGUCUUGGGAAAUCGCGGACCCCAGACACAGAGAGACCA